GAAUUUUGGACAAUGGGCGAAAGCCUGAUCCAGCAAUGCCGCGUGCAGGAGGAAGGCUUUCGGGUUGUAAACUGCUUUUGUUCGGAAGGAAAAGCUUUGGGUUAUUACCCUGGAGUCAGGACCGUCACGUAAGAAUAAGCACCAGCUAACUACGUGCACACAGCAGCGGUAAUACGUAGGGUGCAAGCGUUAAUCGGAAAUACUGGGCGUAAAGCGUGCGCAGGCGGUUUUGUAAGACAGAGGUGACAUCCCCGGGCUCAACCUGGGAACUGCCUUUGUGACUGCAAGGCUAGAGUGCGGCAGAGGGGGGUGGAAUUCCGCGUGUAGCAGUGAAAUGCGUAGAUAUGCGGAGGAACACCGAUGGCGAAGGCAACCCCCUGGGCCUGUACUGACGCUCAUGCACGAAAGCGUGGGGAGCAAACA
rnacentral:rRNA from 1 species